rnacentral:rRNA from 1 species
GUAGGCAGCAAGCGUUGUUCGGAGUUACUGGGCGUAAAGGGUGUGUAGGUGGCCCACUAAGUUCCGUGUGAAAUCUCCCGGCUCAACCGGGAGGGUGCGCGGAAAACUGGAGGGCUAGAGUGCGGGAUGGGAGAGUAGAAUUCCUGGUGUAGCGGUGAAAUGCGUAGAUAUCAGGAGGAAUACCAGUGGUGUAGACGGCUCUCUGGACCGCAACUGACACUGAGACACGAAAGCGUGGGUAGCAAACAGGAUUAGAUACCCUGGUAGUCCACGCCCUAAACGAUGCAUAUUUGGUGUAGGUCAUUCAGUUGAUCUGUGCCGGAGCUAACGCGUUAAAUAUGCCGCCUGGGGAGUACAGUCGCAAGGCUG